AUUGAACGCUAGCGGGAUGCUUUACACAUGCAAGUCGAACGAGUGGCGGACGGGUGAGUAAUAUAGCGGAACGUGCCCAGUAGCGGGGGCUAACUACUCGAAAGAGUGGCUAAUACCGCAUACUAUUGUAGCGGCCGAUAGCGGUUUCGCUAGUGUGUGGGGUAAAGGCGCACCAAGGCAACGAUCCGUAGCGUGGUUGAGAGGACGACCAGCCACACUGUGACUGAGACACGGCCCAGACGCCUACGGGAGGCAGCAGUGGGGAAUUUUGGACAAUGGGGGAAACCCUGAUCCAGCAAUCCCGCGUGUAUGAGAAGGCCUUCGGGUUGUAAAGUACUUUUGGCAGAGAAGCGGUAUCUGCAGAAUAAGCACCGGCUAACUACGUGCCAGCAGCCGCGGUAAUUC
rnacentral:rRNA from 1 species